AAUAAGGUGCCUGAUGAAAAGGAUUAUUUUGAUAGAAUAAAUUAUGUAUUUUUACCCUUAUUG
rnacentral:tRNA from 1 species